CCUUUUCUUUCGGAAAGUUUUGAGCAAGUGGACACUCGCCUACUACCAGUAGUAAUAACUCCUGCUUGUAUGAUGUGCCCUUACAUACCUUAUGGGAAACAUAGUUCUCAUCUUCUUUUUGUACAUUGGGAAAUUGAGGCUUAGUCAGGUUUCAAAGGUUUCCAUAAUUGCUCUGGAGUGUGGCACAGUGACCACUGUCAAAGGAAAUGGAGUACUAGUUCUCUUACCUCAUUUUGUUAGCAACUCCUUGCUUUUGUUACAAUUCCUUUUCUUAUGUGCCAUUUUCAAUGAAUAUUUGCUUCCGGAGUACAUGUAUUGUUUUUGUUUUGUUUUUGUUCAGUAAUUAAGUUUAAUAUAAAAUAAUAUACAGUCAUUUUAGAAAAUUUGGAAAACCUAGAAAAUCGCAAAGAGAAAAGAUAAAAUUACCUUUAAUGCAACCAUCUGGAAAGGAUCACCAAUUUUAAUGUAUUUUCCAGUACAUGCUGUGCCAGUUGAGCCAGCAGAGCCUGAGUCAUAGAUGUAUGGACACGAUUUUAAAAAUGGACCUUUAAUUAUAACCUUACUGGAGUCCACUCACAUUUCUAUCCCUUGUGUCUUGGACCUGGGUUUUUGGCUGUGUGGGAGAUAAAACAAUAUUUUGCUGAUCCUGUAAUACAGUCAGUAUUUACUGGGACACAGAAGAUGCCAGUCCUAAAAGAUAGCACCCCAUCCUGGUAAGUCUGUAAUUGGUGUUGAGUCUAAGCACGUAAGGGUCUCUUUCAUCAUUUUGUAGGCCUAUUUUUUGUUGAUGAGAGGUACUUGAAGGGUCCAGAACAUCCUGUUGACAUCAGGAUACUUAUCUGAUCUUUCUCAUUGAAGUGGGUGCUUGGAGGCAUUGUGUGUAAUACUGUAGUGGUGAUGUACAAGGCAUUUAUCAAAACACUUGGUGGUGGUGUGGUAAGAGUGCAAAAGACUACAAAAGCCAAUCCAAAUCCAGAGUAAGUAUCAGUUCCAAUAAGGGGCAGGCAUUGUCCCUUCAACCAUGGAAAGGUCCCAGUAUAGUUAGCCUGGGAUUAAGUAACUAACUGGUUCCCUCAAGGUAUGGUAUCAAAUCAAGGGCUUACUAUUGGCCAAUAAUAUUGACAGAGUGGGUCCUGGCCAGUAGAGGAUAGUCACAUGGUGUGGGGGAGUUCUUUAGCUUCUGUAGCCACUGGCUGAUGCAAGCCUCUGUCAUUGCCACUGUAGUCACUCUUAAGGCCAUUGAGCAAGUAUUAGAUCGGGGUCAGGGGGGAGAGGUACAGAUGCAGCCCUGUCCACAUGAUGAUUAAGAGGUUUUGCUGCAAUUGUGGGCACUCUGGAUAGAAUUUAUAUUGGACACAAAUUUGUAUCCUUUCCGGACAGCCACCUGCUUUAUCUUUCCUCAGUUCUCCUUGUCAGCAAUCUUCCAUUCUUGCUUAUUCCAAAUCUGUACCCAUUUGGGUAAAUCAUUCACCACUGCCUAAGAAUUGAUAAAAAACAAACAAACAAAAAACAACUGACCAAAGGUUUCCAUCCUGAAAGG